rnacentral:rRNA from 1 species
GACGAACGCUGGCGGCGGGCUUAACACAUGCAAGUCGAACGGUAAGGCCCUUCGGGGUACACGAGUGGCGAACGGGUGAGUAACACGUGGGUGAUCUGCCCUGCACUUCGGGAUAAGCCUGGGAAACUGGGUCUAAUACCGGAUAGGACCACUGCCCGCAUGGGUGGUGGUGGAAAGCUUUUGCGGUGCGGGAUGGGCCCGCGGCCUAUCAGCUUGUUGGUGGGGUGAUGGCCUACCAAGGCGACGACGGGUAGCCGGCCUGAGAGGGUGACCGGCCACACUGGGACUGAGAUACGGCCCAGACUCCUACGGGAGGCAGCAGUGGGGAAUACUGCACAAUGGGCGCAAGCCUGAUGCAGCGACGCCGCGUGAGGGAUGACGGCCUUCGGGUUGUAAACCUCUUUCAGCACCGACGAAGCGCAAGUGACGGUAGGUGCAGAAGAAGGACCGGCCAACUACGUGCCAGCCGCCGCAGUAA